rnacentral:rRNA from 1 species
GGACUACAGGGGUAUCUAAUCCUGUUCGCUCCCCACGCUUUCGCUCCUCAGCGUCAGGUAAGGCCCAGAGAACCGCCUUCGCCACCGGUGUUCCUCCCGAUAUCUGCGCAUUUCACCGCUACACCGGGAAUUCCAUUCUCCCCUACCUACCUCUAGCCUGCCCGUAUCCACUGCCGACCCGGGGUUAAGCCCCGGGCUUUCACAGCGGACGCAACAGGCCGCCUACGAGCUCUUUACGCCCAAUAAUUCCGGACAACGCUCGCGCCCUACGUGUUACCGCGGCUGCUGGCAC